rnacentral:lncRNA from 1 species
CUUCCACCAAAUUUGGCAAGUUUCCAACUAAAAUAAUACAAGUCAAAAGCUGAAAAUAAAUCAGCUAUUACAUCCAUCAUUUUCAUAUCUUACUAACUCUAGAAAUCAAGUUACAUGUCAACUUGAUUGCUUUACAAAAAAAAUCAAAAUAAGCAAAAUGAAACAAGCAGCUCCUAUUCGAUUCUAAAGCUGGUCUACUGCUGCUGGUGAGCUUUAUGGUUACCUGUUGCAUUGCAGUCCAUGCUUAACACUCCUCCUUGGACUGUAAGCAACAAACACCGAUUGAAUCCCUUAGAAAUUCAAACCUGAUUGUGCCAAGAGGCUUUUUCAAAAUGUCAGCUAAUUGAUCUUGUGAGCUGCAAUGUAUAAGACACACUUCUUUGGAUUGAACAACUUCUCGAACAAAGUAGAACUUGAGCUUAAAAUGUUUAGUUUUGCCAUGAAAAACAGGAUUUUUGGAGAUGGCAACUGCUGACUGGUUAUCCACCAUAAUUUUAGUAGGCUCAAGCUGUUCUUCAUUCAAAUCACAUAGCAACUUCCUAAGGCAAAUGGCUUGAUUCACUGCUGCAGCUGCUGCUAUGUAUUCGGCUUCAGCAGUAGACUGAGCAACAGUUUGUUGCUUCUUUGAACUCACACUGAAAACUCCCGAACCAAGUGUAAAGAAGUAGCCUGAAGUACUUCUCAUAUCAUCAACUGAUCCACCCCAGUCACUAUCUGAGCAGCCAGUUAAUUUCAGCUCACUUCCUUUCUUGAACAUUACACUAAACUUCAAAGUACCUUUGACAUACCUGAGUAUUCUCUUUGCUGCUUUCAAAUGAGUUAUAUUGCAGCUGUGCAUGAAUCUAGACAGCAGACUAACUGAAUGCAUAAGGUCAGGUCUGGUUGCCGUCAAGUAAAGUAAACAACCAAUCAGGCUUCUAUACUCCUUUUCAUCUACCUUUUCUUCAUUUUCAAAGCUGCUUAGUUUCUCUCCCACAGCUAAUAGUGUGAUCACUGGUUUGCUAUUUUCUAUAUGAAACUUAGUGAGAAUUUUAAAGGCAAAUGCAUGCUGGCUGAUAAAAAUACCUUGAUCAGACUGGUCUACUUCCAUACCAAGGAAGUAAGUCAUGAUUCCCAAGUCUGUCAUGUCAAACAUGUCUUGCAUAUUCUUCUUGAACUCCUGAAUCAAAUCGACCCUGCUUUCAGACACUAAUAGAUCAUCCACAUAUAUUAAGACAAUCAACAAAGUCUCAUCUUUGGACUUCUUUAUAAACAAAGUUGGCUCACUCAAACUUUUCUCGAAAUUGAGCCUAGACAGGUAAGCAUCUAUCCUGUCAUACCAGGCUCGAGGAGCCUGUUUUAGUCCAUAGAGUGCCAUCUUCAGCUUGUAAACCUUGUCCUCCUUUCCUUAGACUUUAAAUCCAUCAGGCUAUUCAACAUAAAUUUCUUCUUUAAGAAAACCAUUCAGGAAAGCUGACUUGACAUCAAGUUGAUGGACCCUCCAUUGCUUCUGUGCUGCGAAGGCAAACAGAAGCUUUAUGGUAUCCAGCCUUGCCACUGGAGCAAAUGUCUCCUCAAAAUCAAUGCCAAACUGUUGAUUGUACCCUUUCACCACAAGCCUUGCCUUGUGUUUGUUCAAAGAGCCAUCAGCAUUGAAUUUAGCCCUGAAAACCCAUUUGACACCUAUGACCUUCUUCUGAUCAGGUCUGUCUACCAGAUCCCAAGUGUCAUUUCUGUGGAUCAUGUCAAUUUCAACCUCCAUAGCCUUCUUCCAGCUCUUGCUUCUUGCAGCUUCUUCAUAGCUUGAAGGCUCAACAAUGGCCACAUUGCAUCUUUGGUAGAUAUCAGCAAUAGACCUGGUCCCUCUCACAGGAGCAUCAUCUACAUUGGUAUUACUGACUUCAUUUUCUGCCAAUUCCAGAUUGCUGUCAAUCUGCUCUUCUUCAAACUGGCUUGUGUCAGAGCCAUCUAGGCUCCAAAACCUUCUUUCAUCGAAUUUGACAUCCCUGCUUACCAAAAUCUUCUUGGUUGAGGGAUCAAAUACUCUGUAGCCCUUCUUGCAGCUACUAUAACCAACAAAUAUACCAGGAACUGACCUCUUCUUGAGCUUGGUUCUUCUUUCUGCAGGGACAAGUACAAAACACAUGCAACCAAAUACUUUUAAAUGGGAAACAAUUAGUUUAAGAUCAUACCAUGCUUCAAAAGGAUUUUUAUCAUUCACAGUAUGUGUUGGCAGCCUAUUGAGCAGGUACACUGAGGUGUUGACACCUUCAGCCCAAAAAAUGCUUGAAAGCUUGCUUUGAAACAACAAACACCUGGUCAUGUUCAUCACUGAUCUGUUCUUCCUUUCACAUACUCUAUUUUGCUGAGGAGUAUACACGGUGGUCAAUUGAUGAUGAAUCUCAGCCUGCUCACAUAGCUUCUGAAAUCUUUCAGACAAGUAUUCAGAACCAUUAUCUGUCCUCAAGGCCUUUAUCCUGCAGCCUGUUUGAUUUUCUGCCAAUGCCUUGAACUUUCCAAAAACUUCAAACACUUCUGACUUCUGUUUCAUGAAAUAAACCCAGCAAAAUCUGGUCAGAUCAUCAAUAAACAGUAUAAAAUACUUACUGCCAUUCAGUGAAUAGGUCUUCAUUAGUCCACAGACAUCAGAGUGCACCAACUCAAGUCUUUCUCGAGCCCUCCAUACUUGGUUUACUGGAAAACACAACCUAGCCUACUUACCAAGCUGGCACACUUCACAAACAGACUUAUUUGCAUCAACCUUAAUCAUGUCCUCUGUCAAACUCAUCUUGUGCAGCAAAUUGAGUGACCUGAAAUUGACAUGGCCAAAUCUUCUAUGCCACAGAUCAGCAUUGUCAACUGAACUUAUAUAGGCUCUUUUCUCAAGUUGGCUCACAUCCAACAUGAAACACCUAUCUUUCAUGGGUGCUGAAACAACUUCUCUACCAAGAACAUCAUUAAUAACACAAGAAUCAUUCUUGAAAACUAGAGAGUAGUCUUUCUUAACCAGCUGACCUACACUAAGUAGAUUUUGAUCUAUUUCAGGUACAUAGAGCACAUCUGAAACAACCUUGUUACCUGAACCAGUGUUGAUCACAACAUCACCUCUGCCUUUAGCUUCAAUCAGAUUCCCAUUGCCUAUUCUGACCUUUGAAGCAAAACUCCUGUCAAGGUCCUUGAACAAGCUCUCAUCUGAUGCCAUGUGAUGUGAGCAGCCACUAUCCACAAGCCAACUGCAUUUGGAUUUGCUUGUGGUUGUAGAACAUGAGGCAGUGAAGACAUGCUCCUCCUGAGCUUGAAGAUCUUCAGCAGUCUUGGCUUGUACUGGCAGAGUUUGUGACUUUUCUUGAUUUCUACAAAUCUUUUCAUGGUGACCAUACUGCUUGCAACUCUUGCAUUGGAUGUCUGGUCUGUUCCAGUAAUACUUCUUCAAAUGGUUAGUCUUCUUGUAGUGAACGCAUGGUGGAAACCUCCUUCUACCAGUAUCUUUCUUUGAUCUUUCCUUCUUUUCAAACCAAGGCUUCUUAGCUUUCUGACUUGAGUUGGAGCCUUCUUUGACCUUUGCUUGAAAAGAACCUUCAGGACUCUCCUCCUGCCUACUUGCUCUUUUCUGUUCAAGUGCAUAGAGUGAGUUAACCAACUCAGACAAGGAAAUGGUUGUGAGAUUCCUCGAGUCCUCCAAUGAGGAGAUUUUUGACUCAAACCUUUCAAGUAAGGUGGUAAUAACCUUCUCAACAACCCUACUGUCACUGAAAUCUUCUCCAAGGAGUCUGAUAUUGUUGACAGUAGCCAUAAUCCUAUCAGAAUAUUGCUUGAUAGUUUCUGACUCCUUCAUCUUCAAAUUUUCAAACUUCCUUCUAAGAUUAAUUACUUGUUGCUGCAUUGUCUUGUCUAAUCCCAUGAACUCCUCUUUCAGGCUAUCCCAUGCUUGUUUGGGUAAGUCACAGGCCAUGAUGCGAGUAAAAAUCACAUCAGACACUCCAUUCUGUAGGCAGGCCAUGGCUUUAUGCUUCUUGGCUCGCUCCUCACCAUGCUGUCUGAUCUGAGCAAUAGUUGGAUUUGCUCUCAAUGGUGGUGGCUCGACAUCAUUUUCAACUGCACUCCACAGAUCAAGUGCUUGGAGGUAAGUUUUCAUUUUAACUACCCAAAUGUGGUAGUUUUCUCCAGCAAAAAUUGGUGGUGGAGGAGGUGCAAAGCUCAUGUUGCUGAAACUAGUUUGACAAACACGAUUUUUGAGUUUAUUUUGAAAUUAAAAACUUGAACAACAGAGGUCCUCAAAGACAAGAGGCUCUAAUUACCAUUUUUUGAAAAAGACAGCAGCAACAAUGAACAACAAAAAGCAUAAGCUCAUGAAAAACAACAAGCAAAACAAUUGAUAGGCUAAAGAAAAAAAUAACCGAAUGAGAAAGUCCCAUGCUACUUUCAUUUCCAUUUCAAAAUAUAUAAGAGUUAUAAAAGCAAGUCAGUUACCUAAACGUAACUACUCCCACCAAAUUUGGCAAGUUGCCAACUAAAAUAAUACAAGUCAAAAGCUGAAAAUAAAUCAGCUAUUACAUCCAUCAUUUUCAUAUCUUACUAACUCUAGAAAUCAAGUUACAUGUCAACUUGAUUGCUUUACAAAAAAAAAUCAAAAUAAGCAAAAUGAAACAAGCAGCUCCUAUUAGAUUCUAAAGCUGGUCUGCUGCUGCUGGUGAGCUUUAUGGUUACCUGUUGCAUUGCAGUCCAUGCUUAACAC